GCGGAGGAAACCCGCUGAACUUAAGCAUAUCACUAAGCG
rnacentral:rRNA from 1 species